CAGAAUUUGGUGUUGAACCCUGCGGGCCAUGAUUUACAGCCACAAGUUGCGUACUGUAAAUGCUGCUAAUAUACGUUUGUCGCUAGCAGACGCACGACGUUGCAUUCGAUUGGCUAAGCGACGUUUUAUUUGCUGACAGAGAACACUUUUUAGUUUCAACAUGUUUUCUGACUUGGUUUUUGUUGAUAUUGGUUUAUGUUGAUGGGAAACGGAAGUUAAUGCAUAGGGAAGACGUCUUGGUAUCGGUUGGGCGAACAUAGCACGAGCUGCUAUUUGGGCGGGAAUGCGUAUUAACCUACAACCUUGAACCUGUUAUUGGCUACGCGCCCUAAUCCACGAAGAAGAAGAAAGAAGAAGCUUGUGCUACGUCUGCCUUAUCGUUACCAACGUCUUCAGUGAAACACUUUCAGCAGUGCAGAUGAGAAAAAUUAAUUGAGCAAAUAUAAUGUCGUAGGUACAUAUCACAUAUAAACCAGGUUACCAUCAACAUGUCAGGUGUAACAGGCAGAUUGCGCUGAAAUUUCAGCACAGUGUCCAGAGUAAUGGUGAAACUUCAGUUUUUUACAUUUAAGAUUAUAAAGAAACACAAUUUUGAUGAAGAGUAACCAAUGAAUUUGAACAGUGAACACUAGAGUAACUAAUUCAACUAUUUGUUGUUAUGCAGACUGCCCGCCAGCGGACGGAGGCCAACCGACGGACGCCGGCUCAAAGGCCAACAGUGGCCCGCCCGCCGGCCGACACCGGCCCGCCGGCCGACGGUGGCUCGUCGACCGACACCGGCCCGUCGGCCGACUACGGCCCUCCGGCUGAUGGUGGCCCGCCAGCCGACGGAGGUCCGCCGGCCAUUCGUGGCACGCCCGCCGACGGCAGCUCGACUACACGUCCUGGCUAUGUCACCCCCAAGAUUACUUCGCCCCCCCCCCCAAGUCCCUAGGUCACCAGUUGCGGACGCUUCAUCUGACGGUGUCGUCCGACGGCUCCACGGUGACCAGCGCCGCCACUGCGGAAACCAUCGGACCCCGAAAAUGCUGCUAGCCGUACACGAACAAAAGGCGCCAGGCACCCAGGACCAGCGCCCUGCUCCGAGGGGGUAUCUAAAGAAGGCCGCAUAGUGCACUUGCUGUGCUAAGGCAUAGUGCGCGCUGACUGAUAGGAACAAAUGACGGUCAGUUAUCAGAUCUCAGUAUGGAACUCAAGAUGGUCGGAGCCGACCUGGCCCGGUGGAUGGUGUGCCAGGGUUGAUUAAGUGUCGAAAGGAGUGAGACGCCGAGAUAUGUGAAGGAUACGUCGAUACGAGCCCCGGCUUCGACUCCCCGUCCCAAAACGAUGUUGGCUGUGAUUGGAGUUUGGUAUCUUUACGGAUUUCCCCCCCCCCCCCCCACCCCUGAAUUUGUGCUAUGUAAUAGGACGAUAAUAUGUCGUGGUCUCAUUCUGGCUCGAUAUGGUAAUAGGUACUUAAUUGGACAGAUGUUGAUGGUAUUGGUGGUGGAUGUAAAUGACAGGUUUGGCGAGCGCGAACUAGUAAUCGUGAGUGCACUAGCUGCAAUCAGUCGCGCGCUUAUUGCUGAGCACCUGUGAGCAAGAAAAUGGUAUGAAAGUGGUAGUUCGUCGUGAAAUCUGUGUACUUUUGGAUUAAGUUUUCAGAACGGAAGUGUAUUUUUGCCGUGUCCACUGCAGCUCUGGAACAGAAACAUAGAGAUCGGCUGUGUGCUGUAGCAGGGGCAAGUAGUCCGUGCCAAAAAAUCAAAGGUGAUAUGUGAAUUUAAGUGAAUAUACCUCGCUUUAUUUUCAA